AUUGAACGCUGGCGGCAUGCCUUACACAUGCAAGUCGAACGGUAACAGGUCUUCGGAUGCUGACGAGUGGCGAACGGGUGAGUAAUACAUCGGAACGUGCCCGAUCGUGGGGGAUAACGAGGCGAAAGCUUUGCUAAUACCGCAUAAGAACUAUGGAUGAAAGCAGGGGACCGCAAGGCCUUGCGCGAACGGAGCGGCCGAUGGCAGAUUAGGUAGUUGGUGGGGUAAAGGCUUACCAAGCCUACGAUCUGUAGCUGGUCUGAGAGGACGACCAGCCACACUGGGACUGAGACACGGCCCAGACUCCUACGGGAGGCAGCAGUGGGGAAUUUUGGACAAUGGGCGCAAGCCUGAUCCAGCCAUGCCGCGUGCAGGAUGAAGGCCUUCGGGUUGUAAACUGCUUUUGUACGGGACGAAAAGGUUCGGGUUAAUACCCUGGGCCCAUGACGGUACCGUAAGAAUAAGCACCGGCUAACUACGUGCCAGCCGCCGCCGUAAAAC
rnacentral:rRNA from 1 species